CACAAACGGACCGUAAAAAGGACGGAUUGUGGGUAAUCCUCAGUGUAAUGGAGGAUUAAAAGAAGGGCCACAAUUUCCUUUGUGUCCUUUAUAUUUUACAGAAGUUAACAGCUCCAGCACGACAAACAUAGAAAGCAGAAGACAUCUCACAGGGGUUACACUCACUGCAUUCAUAUGUUGGCGCUCUACGAGAACAGUUUGCAGAGCUCGAAGAAUCCGCACGCCGCACGCACUGUUAGUGCCACACAAAACUACCAGUUUGACACUCGACGUGUGAGAAAAAGAAAGACAUUUGCAGACCAGUGUGGUGAUGACAGUGAAGUAGCUUUUACUGAUAGUAGUCAAGAGAUUUAAGGUUGAAACAUAUUAUGUCACCAUUGACAGAUCUGGAUAGUUCCUUCUCAGACAAACUUAUUCAGUUCAAGCACUUGAGACUUUACCU
ensembl:lncRNA